CCUACGGGGGGCAGCAGUGGGGAAUAUUGCACAAUGGGGGAAACCCUGAUGCAGCGACGCCGCGUGAGUGAAGAAGUAUUUCGGUAUGUAAAGCUCUAUCAGCAGGGAAGAAGAAAGACGGUACCUGACUAAGAAGCCCCGGCUAACUACGUGCCAGCAGCCGCGGUAAUACGUAGGGGGCAAGCGUUAUCCGGAUUUACUGGGUGUAAAGGGAGCGUAGACGGCUGUGCAAGUCUGAAGUGAAAGCCCAGGGCUCAACCCUGGGACUGCUUUGGAAACUGUGGAGCUAGAGUGCUGGAGAGGUAAGUGGAAUUCCUAGUGUAGCGGUGAAAUGCGUAGAUAGUAGGAGGAACACCAGUGGCGAAGGCGGCUUACUGGACAUUAACUGACGCUGAGGCACGAAGGCCAGGGGAGCGAAAGGGAUUAGAUACCCGGGUAGUC
rnacentral:rRNA from 1 species